UCAAACCAAAGUCAUAUACAUGUGCAUCACUACAUCAACACCACAUUCAUACUGAUACUGUCUAAGUCUACAUUAACACCACAUUACUACCGAUGAUGUGUAAGUCUACAUUGACACCACAUUACUACCGAUGAUGUGUAAGUCUACAUUAACACCACAUUACUACCGAUGAUGUGUAAGUCUACAUUAACACCACAUUACUACCAAUGAUGUCUUAGUCUACAUUAACACCACAUUACUAACCGAUGAAGUCUUUGUCUGCAUCAAAACCACUUGCAUGAAAUCUUGUUUAACAGGAGGUGACCUGUAAUUUAAACAACCACCGUGUGAAACUGAGUUGCGUCUUAAACUGAAGCACACCUGAAACAUUGGUAGCGCGAGGCCGACUUCCUGAGGCCGCCACCUAGCGCUAUGCGCGCGACCUCGCAAACACGACGUGCCUUCCGAAGCCCUCGGAAGGCCAAUUAAAAAAUAAGAAAUUCAAAUAAUUAAUUUUCCUACGGCUGCUUACCUUUUGAUAAGGAACUAAAACUAAAGGAGAGGCCACAAAUAUUCACAAUGCGACAAACAGGGGACCGUUGAUUCAACUAAGCUUCUACAAUCAAUAUCUACACACUUCAAUGGAAGCUCUUCGUCACCCAAAGGCCCUAGGUGAAGCGUCCGUCACCUUGUACGACUUCCGUAGACGCGAACCCUCUGAAGAACCUUUAAAUGUGCAGGGAAAACUCUGCAGCCCGGAGAGCACCGUUUAAAGUCAACGUUAUCACCCGAACGCUCCAGAGUACUGUUCUUUACUUUGCCGUACCUUUUCUUCCGAUGCUCGCACCCGCAGGAGAAGUGACCAACUUGUAUUUGAGAAUGUCAGAGUUUAUUUAUAGUUCGUCUUGGAGUCUUCAUGACUAUAUUAUGUGCUGACCUAGUGACCAACUUGACCAACUUGUCCAACUUGCCAAUUUGCAAGCCUUUAUAUACUGGCGAACCGAGCGCAAUCUAUCAAGGGACUCGGAAAAUAAACCUUUCCGACUUCCCUUUCUUACUUAACGGAGAUAACCGACCAUGAUUUUCUCUUUCACUGCGACAGAGACAAGCCAAAUGUAUAUGCAGGAUUUUACAAGAAAAAUUCCUUAAAUAUCAAAUGCUCUUAAUAUGCUUAAUAAAUAACUUCUUACAUGGAAAUUAACUUACUUUGUGAAUUACAAUUAACAUCUCCAUAUGGUUAACUUGGAAAAUGUAAAACUCAUGGAGGUAUACUUCGAGUACUGUCUACCAGUGGUUACCAUCUACCAAUUUUAGGUCAAGACUGAAGUUUAUUCUAGCAACCAUCCCAAUCGGAUAUCAUGAAUACAUUGGUAGACGGUACCAUCACAACAAAUAAAAUGAAUGCUUACCAGCUGUAGAAGGCAGCCGAUAUCUGAGCAAAAAGGCAUCAACAUAUCUAACUGAGUGUUUAUUUCUGUAUGAAAAGGGUUAAUUUACGUCAAUCUGAUGUAGGACAAAAUCUAGGACAAAAGCUUGAUACACUGGUAGACGGUAUCACCAGGUCGAUUAUAGUGUGACAGUGAAGAAUUGCAAAGCAGCUUAUUCGACCCAGAAACCUUUCGUCACACAUACAUGUAUUUACUUCGGAACUGUUACUGUGACAAUAGCAUUACCGGUAUACUGGAAUACACAAUCGAUGUUGAUAAGUCCUUUUUUCACAUCUCCAUUCACUGACCGUUGUUAUACAUGAAAACAUGUGGAUUUUUUUUUACAAACUAUCGUAUUACAUUAGUUUACAAUAAACAUAAUUCCACUCGA